UACGUAGGGGGCAAGCGUUGUCCGGAAUCAUUGGGCGUAAAGAGCGUGUAGGCGGCCAGAAAAGUCCGCUGUGAAAACUCGAGGCUCAACUUCGAGCUGUCGGUGGAAACUUUCUGGCUAGAGUCCGGAAGAGGAGAAUGGAAUUCCUGGUGUAGCGGUGAAAUGCGCGGAUAUCAGGAAGAACACCCGUGGCGGAGGCGGUUCUCUGGGACGGUACUGACGCUGAGACGCGAAAGCGUGGGGAGCGAACAGG
rnacentral:rRNA from 1 species